rnacentral:rRNA from 1 species
UGAAGACUCUGCUUGGACUAGCUGAGAGGAGGUGCAUGGCCGUCGUCAGUUCGUACUGUGAAGCAUCCUGUUAAGUCAGGCAACGAGCGAGACCCACGCCAACAGUUGCCAGCAUGUCCUCCGGGAUGAUGGGGACACUGUUGGGACCGCCUCUGCUAAAGAGGAGGAAGGAAUGGGCAACGGUAGGUCAGCAUGCCCCGAAUUAUCCGGGCUACACGCGGGCUACAAUGGUCAGGACAAUGGGUAUCGACACCGAGAGGUGGAGGCAAUCUCCUAAACCUGUCCUUAGUUCGGAUUGUGGGCUGCAACUCGCCCACAUGAAGCUGGAAUCCGUAGUAAUCGCGUUUCAAAUAGCGCGGUGAAUAUGUCCCUGCUCCUU